rnacentral:rRNA from 1 species
UACGUAGGGUGCAAGCGUUGUCCGGAAUUAUUGGGCGUAAAGAGCUCGUAGGCGGUCUGUCACGUCGGACGUGAAAAUCCGGGGCUCAACCCCGGACUUGCAGUGGGUACGGGCAGGCUAGAGUGCGUUCGGGGCAGAGGGAAUUCCUGGUGUAGCGGUGAAAUGCGCAGAUAUCAGGAGGAACACCGGUGGCGAAGGCGGGUCUCUGGGCCGAUACUGACGCUGAGGAGCGAAAGCGUGGGGAGCGAACAGG